rnacentral:rRNA from 1 species
CUAAAAGCAGCCACCUUUAAAAAAGCGUCAAAGCUUAACCACUCCCUACUCACAAUACCUUAAAUUUUCACUAACCCCUCACUAUUACUGAAUAAUUUUAUAAUUAUAUAAAAGCUAUCAUGCUAGAACUAGUAACAAGAAAUUGCCUUUCUCCUAAAUGUAAACAUAAACCAAAAUAGACUAUCUAUUGGUUAUUAACGUAAAUGCCAAAUUAUAGCAACAUCCUCCAGAAAAUCCUAUAGCCCCCAACGUUAACCUUACACUAGAACAUUUCAGGAAAGAUUUAAAGAAAAAGAAGGAACUCGGCAAAUUUUAGCCUCGCCUGUUUACCAAAAACAU